AGAGGAAGUAAAAGUCGUAACAAGGUUUCCGUAGGUGAACCUGCGGAAGGAUCAUUAUUGAAUAAACUUGGUUGGGUUGUUGCUGGCUUUUCGGAGCAUGUGCACGCCUAGCGCCAUUUUUACCACCUGUGCACUCUUUGUAGAUUUGAAACACCUCUCGAGGAAACUCGGUUUGAGGACUGCUAUGCGAAAGCUARGCUUUCCUUGCGUUUCAAGUCUAUGUUUUUAUAUACCCCAUAAGAAUGUUUUAGAAUGUCAUUAAUGGGCUUUAUUGCCUCUAAAUUAAUACAACUUUCAACAACGGAUCUCUUGGCUCUCGCAUCGAUGAAGAACGCAGCGAAAUGCGAUAAGUAAUGUGAAUUGCAGAAUUCAGUGAAUCAUCGAAUCUUUGAACGCACCUUGCGCUCCUUGGUAUUCCGAGGAGCAUGCCUGUUUGAGUGUCAUUAAAUUCUCAACCUUUUCAGCUUUUGCGAGCUGGGAUUGGCUUGGAUGUGGAGGUUUGCGGGCUUUACAAAAGUCGGCUCCUCUUAAAUGCAUUAGCAGAACCUUUGUGGAUCAGCUUUGGUGUGAUAAUUAUCUACGCCAUGGUUGUGAAGCAGUUUUACAUGAGGUUCCGCUUCUAACCGUCCAUUAACUUGGACAAUUUUUGACAUUUUGACCUCAAAUCAGGUAGGACUACCCGCUGAACUUA
rnacentral:rRNA from 1 species